AGCCCUCUCUGCCAAGAGCUGAGACCUCCUGGUGCCCACGGUCAUGAGCAGUUUGGUUGCAGGUUUCAGGGCUGUGACAUCUUGUGCUCAACUGGGUCCCUGACACUCUGACUCAGAUGCAUGGUCAGCGGUAGCUCAGAGGUGGACGGGAUCCUGCAGGUGUCUGCGUGUAUUGUGGGUGCCUGCCUUUUAGUGUUACACGGUGUUUUCUAUUAAAAAUGUGAAUUAUUUGCCAGCAUUAAAAAUUACAAAGUUUCACAUAACACAGAUUUCCAACUCUUUGGAAAACGAGGCAGUGCUGCUAAAGUGGAGCAGCAUUCCCGCUUGGCAGUGACCGCCGGCCUCAGCGAGGGGCCUCCUCAGCCCCCACCCAAGGGAUCUACUCCUUCCUGCGACCUGGUCCCUGGAGAUUGGAGUUUACAACUCUGUGCCCUCCAAGUUCAGCUGACACUAACAACCUUCCCAAACUGCUCAGGGCCCACAGGGAAAUGAUGAAGAGCUUGGGUCUACCCACCAAACUUCAGGCGGCAGGAGAAUGUAUCGUAAUAAAAUGUGUGUUUGUCUCUCUA